rnacentral:rRNA from 1 species
AACGAACGCUGGCGGCAUGCCUAACACAUGCAAGUCGAACGAGACCUUCGGGUCUUGUGGCGCACGGGUGCGUCACGCGUGGGAACCUGCCCUUAGGGUCGGCAUAACUCUCCGACUGGGGUGCUAAUACCGGACAAUGUCUUCGGACCAAAGAUUUACUGCCUUUGGAUGGGCCCGCGUUGGAUUAGCUAGUUGGUAGGGUAAAAGCCUACCAAGGCGACGAUCCAUAGCUGGUCUGAGAGGCUGGUCAGCCACACUGGGAGUGAGACACGGCCCAGACUCCUACGGGAGGCAGCAGUGGGGGAUAGUGGACAAUGGGCGAAAGGCUGAUCGAGCAAUGCCGCGUGAGUGAUGAAGGCCUUAGGGUUGUAAAGCUCUUUUACCCGGGAUGAUAAUGACAGUACCGGGAGAAUAAGCCCCGGCUAACUCCGUG